rnacentral:lncRNA from 1 species
CCAGCUAUGCCUGCACAGCCAAAAUCUUAAAAGAAAGAAAAGAAUAGGUGACAGACUGGCAUACCUUGAUGCGGGAGGGAUCGAUGAUGAUGUCUUGAUUGGUCUCUAUGGCGAGGAGACGGGCUUCGUGAUCAAUGAUGGUACAGAGAGCGGAGACGACCUCGAUGGCAGUCUGGAGGCAGCACAGAGAGAAGGGGGUUCUUAGGGGGCUUGCCGAAGGGUGAGGGGAGGGAGGCUAGGAGGACUGGACGAGAGACGCG